rnacentral:lncRNA from 1 species
UGCAUUCCUUGUCUGCAGGGUUUGUCUUGCAGUAGUCCUCUAAGGCGUCUCCGCUCCCUUCUGCAGCUGAACCGGGCCAUUUGUCUGCUACCAGAUGAGCUAAGUCGACCACACGUUGGCUGCAAUUUUACCAAGUAUGAUCACAAGUGAAUCAACGGUUACCUGUAUCCCCACUCGUUGUCAUACCAAGCGACAAUCUUGACCAUGUCGUCUCCCAUAACCAUGGUUAAAGAGGAGUCGAUGGUGGUGGAAACAUCACUGCAUCGGAAGUCAACUGACACAAGAGGCUCA